rnacentral:tRNA from 1 species
CGGAGUGUAGUAUAGUGGCAUUAUGCACGCUUCGGGUGCGUGAGACCCGAGUUCAAUUCUCGGCACUCCGA